GCACAUUGGACUUGAUGGAGGAUCAUUUGCUGAGUCGAGCACUGCUUCUACCAGAUUUUCAAUUGAAAUGAAUGCAAGAUCUAUCGACAAAGACAAAGAAAAAGAAAAAGGAAAAGAAAAAAUGAACGAUCGAAUGGAAAAGCUCAUGGAGGUAUGUGUAUGAAAGUCAAUAAAAUUUUAAAGUAAUACAUAAAUAUAAAUGAAUUUUAAAUGUUUUACAGGAUAAUCAAAUUUUAAAAAGGAAAUAUGAUGAAAUGUUUGAUAUGUUUGAAGACCUGAAGAAAACAGUUCUAUCUCAAUCAAAUACAACUCCACAACCUUCAGAUCGUGGAUCGUUGCAAGAUAGAAGUAUUAAUGCAGCUCAGAGUGAUCAAAGAUUUCAGACUCCUCCAUCGAAAUAGGUCUUUCAUUUUAUUUUUGUCGAAUGUUAGUUUUUUUGAAUGUU
rnacentral:lncRNA from 1 species